rnacentral:rRNA from 1 species
GACGAACGCUGGCGGCGUGCUUAACACAUGCAAGUCGAACGGAAAGGCCCUGCUUUUGUGGGGUGCUCGAGUGGCGAACGGGUGAGUAACACGUGAGUAACCUGCCCUUGACUUUGGGAUAACUUCAGGAAACUGGGGCUAAUACCGGAUAGGAGCUCCUGCUGCAUGGUGGGGGUUGGCAAGUUUCGGCGGUUGGGGAUGGACUCGCGGCUUAUCAGCUUGUUGGUGGGGUGGUGGCUUACCAAGGCUUUGACGGGUAGCCGGCCUGAGAGGGGGACCGGCCACAUUGGGACUGAGAUACGGCCCAGACUCCUACGGGAGGCAGCAGUGGGGAAUAUUGCACAAGGGGCGGAAGCCGGAGGCAGCAACGCCGCGUGCGGGAUGACGGCCUUCGGGUGGUAAACCGCUUUCGCCUGUGACGAAGCGGGAGUGACGGUAAUGGGUAAAGAAGCACCGGCUAACUACGUG